GACGAACGCUGGCGGCGUGCUUAACACAUGCAAGUCGAGCGGUAAGGCCCUUUCGGGGGUACGACGAGCGGCGAACGGGUGAGUAACACGUGGGUGGACCUGCCCUCCAGCUCUGGGAUAAGCCUGGGAAACUGGGUCUAAUACCGGAUAUGACUCCAUGACGCAUGUUGUGGGGUGGAAAGCCUUGUGCGGCUGAGGAUGGGCCCGCGGCCUAUCAGCUUGUUGGUGGGGUGAUGGCCUACCAAGGCGACGACGGGUAGCCGGCCUGAGAGGGCGACCGGCCACACUGGGACUGAGACACGGCCCAGACUCCUACGGGAGGCAGCAGUGGGGAAUCUUGCGCAAUGGGCGAAAGCCCUGACGCAGCGACGCCGCGUGAGGGAUGACGGCCUGGUUGUAAC
rnacentral:rRNA from 1 species